GAUGAAGAACGUAGCGAAAUGCGAUAAGUAAUGUGAAUUGCAGAAUUCAGUGAAUCAUCGAAUCUUUGAACGCACAUUGCGCCCGCCAGUAUUCUGGCGGGCAUGCCUGUCUGAGCGUCAUUUCAACCCUCAUGCCCCUAGGGCGUGGUGUUGGGGAUCGGCCAAAGCCCGCGAGGGACGGCCGGCCCCUAAAUCUAGUGGCGGACCCGUCGUGGCCUCCUCUGCGAAGUAGUGAUAUUCCGCAUCGGAGAGCGACGAGCCCCGGCCGUUAAACCCCCAACUUUCCAAGGUUGACCUCAGAUCAGGUAGGAAUACCCGCUGAACUUAAGCAUAUCAAUAAGCGGAGGA
rnacentral:misc_RNA from 1 species